rnacentral:rRNA from 1 species
GAUGAACGCUGGCGGCGUGCCUAAGACAUGCAAGUCGGACGGGUGGAGGUCUUUGGGCUUCCACCAGUGGCGGACGGCUGAGUAACACGUAGGGAACCUGCCCGCGUGUGGGGGAUAGCCUGCCGAAAGGUGGGGUAAGACCGCAUACGCUCGCGCGGGGAAGCGCCGCGCGAGGAAAGCCCGUGAGGGUGCACGCGGAGGGGCCUGCGGCCCAUCAGCUCGUUGGUGGGGUAAUGGCCUACCAAGGCGACGACGGGUAGCUGGUCUGAGAGGAUGG